rnacentral:rRNA from 1 species
UACGUAGGGGGCAAGGCGUUGUCCGGAUUUAUUGGGCGUAAAGAGCGUGUAGGCGGCCAGGUAGGUCUGCUGUGAAAACUCGAGGCUUAACCUCGAGCUGUCGGCGGAAACCAUCUGGCUAGAGUCCGGAAGAGGAGAAUGGAAUUCCCGGUGUAGCGGUGAAAUGCGCAGAUAUCGGGAAGAACACCCGUGGCGAAGGCGGUUCUCUGGGACGGUACUGACGCUGAGACGCGAAAGCGUGGGGAGCGAACAGGAUUAGAUACUCGUGA